CUGCAAAGAGGCAUCUGCCAUAGGAUAAAGACACAGAACAGAUGAGAUGAGAACAGUCAUCAUUAAACAGAAAAAUCAGGUUUCUUUUCGGGAGCCUUCAUCCGCCACAUCACCACAGGAUGUCGCGGGCCAGCAGGACUCUGAAUUCGGAUAAUCUUUGUGGAGGCAAUGUAGGACAUUUUCACCGUCUGCACCACAGCAUUCAUCAGGUUUUUGGCAGCUUGAAUCAGCGAAGUCACACUGUCUAACUGUAAGCAGAAACACAACUAUUAUAAUCUCAGAAAUGCCUGUU